rnacentral:misc_RNA from 1 species
UACGGAGGGUGCAAGCGUUAAUCGGAUUUACUGGGCGUAAAGGGCGCGUAGGCGGGUAGAAAAGUCAGGUGUGAAAUUUCAUGGCUCAACCAUGAAGCUGCACUUGAAACUUUCAGCCUAGAGGAUAGAGCGGGGAAAGCGGAAUUCCACAUGUAGCGGUGAAAUGCGUAGAUAUGUGGAGGAACACCGGUGGCGAAGGCGGCUUUCUAGCCUAUGCCUGACGCUGAGGCGCGAAAGCGUGGGGAUCAAACAGG